GUGCUUGCUUUGCCAGUACAUACACUAAAAUUGGAACAAUACAGAGAUUAGCAUGACCCCUGUGCAAGAACAAUGCAAAUUUGUGAAGCAUUCCAUAUCCUU